rnacentral:rRNA from 1 species
GAUGAACGCUGACAGAAUGCUUAACACAUGCAAGUCUUUGGCGAAGCUGUGCUUGCACAGCCUAGCCAAGGCGGACGGGUGAGUAACGCGUAAGGAACUUGCCCUGCAGUCAGGGAUAACAGACGGAAACGACUGAUAAGACCUGGUAAAGUCAGGCGGACUCAUGUCCAGCCUGAUGAAAAGAGAUGCUGCAGGAGAGCCUUGCGUCCUAUUAGCUUGUUGGUGGGGUAACGGCCCACCAAGGCGAUGAUAGGUAGCCGGCCUGAGAGGGUGGACGGCCACAAGGGGACUGAGAUACGGCCCUUACUCCUACGGGAGGCGGCAGUGGGGAAUAGUGGACAAUGGGGGCAACCCUGAUCCAGCAAUUCUGUGUGCACGAUGAAGGUUUUCGGAUUGUAAAGUGCUUUCAGCAGGGAAGAAAAAAAUGACGGUACCUGCAGAAGAAGCGACGGCUAAAUACGUG